UCCGAUGUUACUGAGUCAGGUUCUGUUGC
rnacentral:piRNA from 1 species